rnacentral:rRNA from 1 species
CUGGCGGCGUGCCUAAUACAUGCAAGUCGAACGGUCUUUCUAUGGAAGCUUGCUUCCACUGAGAAGAUAGUGGCGAACGGGUGAGUAACACGUGGGUAACCCUGCCCAUAAGAGGGGGGAUAACAUCCGGAAACGGGUGCUAAUACCGCAUAGUUUUCUUGGUCGCAUGAUCGGGAAAGGAAAGACGGCCUUUGUGCUGUCGCUUAUGGAUGGACCCGCGGCGUAUUAGUUAGUUGGUGAGGUAACGGCUCACCAAGACGAUGAUACGUAGCCGACCUGAGAGGGUGAUCGGCCACAUUGGGACUGAGACACGGCCCAAACUCCUACGGGAGGCAGCAGUAGGGAAUCUUCCGCAAUGGACGAAAGUCUGACGGAGCAACGCCGCGUGAGUGAAGAAAGGUUUUCGGAUCGUAAAACUCUGUUGUCAGAGAAGAACAAGUUGGAGAGUAACUGCUCCAGCCUUGACGGUAUCUGACCAGAAAGCCACGGCUAACUACGUGCCAGCCGCAGC